rnacentral:rRNA from 1 species
UCCGUAGGUGAACCUGCGGAAGGAUCAUUCACACGAAUCCAACCAAACCAUUGUGCAUCAUCAGAUGUGAGUUUCCCACGUGGGGAUGCGUUGUGCCUUGGGCCCGGCUCUUCUUGAAGGGUUGGUUCGACCUUGGCCUCGGCCCUUGCGUGGAAUUCUCAAGGGUGGUGGGGUCGGCUUGGAGCUUGUCUCUUUGCUUGAUUGCCUGCCACCGGUUUUCUUUCAACUUCGAAUCACUGUCAGCUUGUAUCGCUUGCUUGUGCCUUGUGCGCAGCUUUCGUUACUUACAACUUUCAGCGACGGAUGUCUCGGCUCGAACAACGAUGAAGGGCGCAGCGAAGUGUGAUAAACAUUGUGAAUUGCAGAAUUCCGUGAACCAAUAGGACCUUGAACGCAAUCUGCACUGUCGGGAUAUGCCUGACAGUAUGCCUGCUUCAGUCUCUUAGUUUCUUCGUGCAAAUUCGUUUGCGUGUCUGCGUGUCAGGGCGUGUCUCUCUCUCUCGGGAGUUGGGUUCACCCUUGACGCGUGAAGUUUAUUGGGGUCACCACGACGAGCAACUGAACAGACACUUCACGUGUAUUUGUUUUUUUGUCUCGCCGUUGGUUGGCAACUUUUGUCGCAUCCCGAUGGCGGUUCGCUUCCAUCCAAGAGAUGAAGUCAGGUGAGAAAACCCGCUGAAUUUAAGCAUAUCAAUACGCGGAGGAA